rnacentral:rRNA from 1 species
UUAGUGGCGGACGGGUGAGUAACGCGUGGAUAACCUGCCGUAUACAGGGGGAUAACACUUAGAAAUAGGUGCUAAUACCGCAUAAGCGCACGGUUCCGCAUGGAACAGUGUGAAAAACUCCGGUGGUAUACGAUGGAUCCGCGUCUGAUUAGCCAGUUGGCGGGGUAACGGCCCACCAAAGCGACGAUCAGUAGCCGGCCUGAGAGGGUGGACGGCCACAUUGGGACUGAGACACGGCCCAAACUCCUACGGAAGGCAGCAG